AGGGCAUCACCAUAUUCAAACUGAUGGAAGAAGAGUUUUGUGCACACAAACCAGGCUGUCCUUUCUCCCUCUCCUCUCAGGUUGUUUGAUAGUGCAGCUAUCUAUAUUCACUGUAUUCCAUUUUAAAGAGUAGUUUAUGUGCCAAAGCAGGUUUAAUCACUGGCACUGCCAACCCUGCCUGUUUCCCUGCUCCAUCACUACACUAUUCACUCUCAGCCACUGCUACAAAGCACAUUUGUGAUAGUUUUAUUCUAGGCCUUCCUCGGUGACCAGUUUGUAACCAAGGAAGUGGCCAUGUUCCCAAUAUUCCAUAUGAUUUUUAUGUAAGCUAGGGUAUAAAUAAGAAGGAGAGAGAAGCCUCUUCUCCGUUCUUUUCUGGUGGAUCUGAAGGCACAGGUUCUUUGCUGUCUGUCCUGCUCGUGUGGGGGAGUGAGGCCUAGUGAGGCCUAGUGAGGCCUAGUGAGGCCUAGUGAGGCCUUGUAGGCCUCGGGAGGCAGAGGGUGCCAGCGGUGCUUGGCGUGAUUCUGCUGUCUCAAGGAGAGUAGUAAGAUUUUCUUUUGCUAGUUCUUUAUUGAUUGUGUAUACCUGCUUCGGGUUUCUUUUGUGGUUUUUGUCCCUUUUCCCUUUCCCGUCCCCUUUGGGGGGGGGGGUUGUUUGGAGUUCUCUUUUUUUAUGUACAUAGCGUUGUAACUGUAUAUAACUGUGAUAUAUGUAAAUAUAUAUAUUUUGCUAUAGCUUGGUUAGUUUCUGGUCUUUCAGUUUGUAUAGUUUUUUUUAACUUUGCCCAAAGGGGAGGGGGAAGUUUUUGCUGUAGUCUGGGGGACUUGGCGUGAAGCCAACUCCAUACGGCUACAACAUUUCUACCAAAGAAAUCCAUUUGCAGCUGAAACACAACAGGAAGCCUGCCCUGUGCUCUCCUGGUAAGCAGAAGUACCUGUUUUUCACAUCAUCAGGUAUGUUAGUAAAUACACCUAUUCUUUAUCAGUGUUUGUUAAACCUGCACUUAAACUGGGCCUUGCAACAGCAGAGAAUUGCACGUUGGGUUUGUCAUUAAGGGGGAGAGAAGGACCAAGCUUUGUCUGGAGGAGGAGCAAAGGAAAAGGAGGCUUUUUAUUUUCCCAACACCUGCUGUUGCAAUAAAGAUGCAAUGAAAUGUUCCCUGGCCCUUACGAUAGUCCUGACCAAAUGUGUUAAAUCUGAAAUUUAUCCUGAAAUUUGAGUGAGGGGAAAUCUGAAUUUCAAAGGUUGGACUUGAUGACCUCAGAGAUCUUUUCCAACCUAGUUGAUUCUGUGGUUCUGUAAAUUCUUGCAAUAAUUUUUACAUCCCGUUCUAGUUCUAAACUGCCAGGAAAUGUUGCUGUACUGCUGUGGCUGCUCAUGGUUCCUACCAAAAUAAAAUCUCUGCUAACUUUGUUGAUUAUCAUUUGUUCCUAAACAGUCCUGGCUUUUACCCCAUCAAUAGUGGGGAGUUGUCUCUGCACAGUAGCUUGAGUUUUCCAAGUCUCUUUGAAAAUAAGCAAGUAAAUAAAAACAUAUGCCCUGGGUUACUGUCAAUCUUACGUGGGAGCAAAAAUGUUUUAAAAAAUAAUUUUUAAAGUAUUUUUAAAUUACUUUGAUACAUGGCAGAACAGUUACUGGGCUUUUUUUUUUUUUUUUUUUACUUUUAAACCACCCAGUUGUGUAUUACCCAGAGGAUCAUGUUCUGCACUGGCAUAAAACAAAAAUAGUUUUGCUCUCAAAGCUGAGAUUUGGCACUUGGGGCACAAUUCCCUCUCCAAUCUGCAAUGCAGAUGCUGCUGCAGAGCACAUUCCCAGGGCCUUCCCUGCACUCAGCUCUGCAAGGAAACUUCCCUGCCAUCCAUGGGAGCUCCUCACCACGGAACAGGCCAGGGAGAGCAAUGUCCCCUGAUUUAUGGGGGAUCAGUGGCCAGGAUGGGCAGAAUCAAUCCUGGGCAAAGGUUGGAUUCAUCCUGGGAAAACCAUUUCAAGCUGGUUCUUCUGCAGCCAGGACAUUUUCUUGGAAUAGCCACCUUCUGGUGGAGGAACUGGAUUUGGGUGAGGGAUAGCACAGCUCUGUGCCUUGUUUCCCUCCUCUGAGGUGCUAACUCUGCAAACCCACUCCCUAAAAUCUGCUCUUGGACCCAAAUCCAUGCUGUGUGUGCAGGAAGGAUUCAUUUCCCCACAAGUGCAGCCUUAAAGAUGUUUUAUUCCUUCCACUGAAUUUACCACUGUCCCUCCAACCCAUCCCUUCUGUCACAUGUGUAGGAUAACAUGGAAAAAUCCCACAGGGAGGAGACCCUGGGGAUGAAGUGGAAAGGAAUCCUUUUGGUGCCUCCCCCUGUGCAGGAAAGAUGUGUUAAAGCAGCACCAGUUGCUGUUUCUUUGUGCCUUGAGGCAACACAAGCAGGAUUUUCUCUUUAAAUCACUGCUAAUUAGAAUGGAUAAAUCUAAGGAAAUACCAGCAGUGAAUAUUAAUUGAAAUAACCUCCCAAAUCUCACCUAGAUGGUUCUUCAAUUUUUGUUGUGGUUUGUUUUUUUUUUUCUAUAAAGUCAUACAAAUAAAUUGAUGUAUCCUAAGAAAGAGUGAAACCUCAAAAAAGUCAUGGACAGCAGGGAAAGUGUGUCUUGGUAGAAAUUUCCAGCAGAAAUAUUUGUUCAGCCACGUUGAAAUCUAUUUCCUUCUCCUCCCUAAGACACUGGAUUUGUGAAAAACAGGGAGGAGAAGACAAUCAUCCAGCCUAUACACAGGGCCAGGAGUUGGACUGGAUGGUCCUGAUGGGUCCCUUCCAGCUCAGCAUAUCCCAGGAUUCUGUGAUUCUGCCAGAUUUGGCAAAUAAUUGAAGAUACAGGGUGACAUUUUGAACAAUAGUUUUUGUUAAGAUGACACCUGAGCAGUCCUACUACAAAUGGGAGGGGCUUGGACACGUUGGUUGUUUUAGAAAAUGUUCCUUUAGUAACUUUGAAAUGUUAUUUCUUCUGUUGAAAGGACUGAAGCUGAUCCAGGAGAGCUCAUGGAGCAAAUCCACAGCACUCAGACUCUUUAUGAACUACACAGAGAAGAAAAGGAUAAACCCAUGGAGGGAACUGGUGCUACAAAUGGGGUCCCCUGACAAUGGGAUUUCUGCCUCCCCACCGUUCUGCAAGCAGCACAUGCUGAGGGUGAGGCGUUCAAAGGGCAAGAAAAGCACUUUGGGCCUGUCCCUGCCUGCUGAGCCCAUAUGUCCACUGGGAAGAGAUUGGCAGAGCUCCCUGAGGAGAAGUAAUUACAGGAGACAGGAGCAGUCCAGCACCGAGAGGGAGUUAUUCCUGCACUGCCCAGGUAAGUGCCCUGUGCUGCUCACAGGGAAAGGGCUCGGCCAAGCCCUGGGUGUGAUGCACAAAUACCCUUUUGGCUUGGGCUGUGCUGCUUUGUUUAGGUAGAAUAUGAAAUUUUUGCUCCAUUAAAAGUGAGUUCUCUUUAAGUAAAGUGCAACAUCUCCUCAUUCCAUAUUAUAGAAAAUAUCUCUGGGGGUUUUUUUGAGUUAUCAGCCCCAAACAAACGGAGGUACACUCCAUGCCAGGGAACACAUCUAGCAAAGUGAUUGUCCAGCUGUUUCAGUGUGAAUUUUGAGUACAGGUCAAAGCUCCACGGCUCACACUGUAGUUGAAAACUGAAUUUAAAGGAACACCACUGGCUUUGGUGCCUCCUGGAUGCCCUCUGAGUCCUCCCAGGCCACCACCUCCAGUGGGGUGAACCCUCAUUGCCCAAGAGGCACGACUGGAGCAUUGACUCCCACCUUGUUCCAGACUGUCCUUGGUGGACAAUGAGCUGCUUAAUCCCAGGCUGGAGGCCGAGAACAGCCCAGCAUGUGUGAGGAGAGAAAGUGACCUCAAGGAGCAGCUUGUGACAGAAGUGAGUGUGACUCUGUGACAGUGUCUGAAACUUGGUGGAGGUUGGCUCCAAAGGUGCAGAGAGGCUCCACAGUUAAAAAUUGGAUUUGGGCUCAUAAAUGGUGUCGUUACUCCAAAAAUAGUACUCUGGAGUUCCUUGUUGUGCUAACCCUGUAAUCCUUCACUUGACAUCUGCGAGCAGCACCCGAAAUAUUUGACCUGUGUCACAGACAGGCGUCCAGAGGACUUGCCUAAAACCACAGGGUGAGCUGAGGGUGGUGCUAGAAAUGAUCCCCAGCUCCCAUCCUCCCGAACCCUUUAUUCAGGUUUUUGAUACCUUUCAAGUUUUCAGUGUUCUCACACGUGGUUGCAGUGUUGCAGACUGGGAGAUGGGGUGGUGUCAGACACCAGAUCAGUGACUGUGGGGUCAGAACCACCUUGGGGGUGUGUGUGGACAUGUGAGAGCUGGUCUUCUACAAGUUCCAGUGGUAGCUCUAUGAUCUGUCUUUCCUUAUUCCUCCUUCUCUCUGCUUCUGUUUCUCUGCUCCUUUCUGGAUGCUUUGGGUGGCUUGGAGCUGGAAGGGUUGGAUUUUGACUUGGGUGUUGUGGACAGGUUGGAUCCCAAGUGUUGUGGGUUAACAUGUGCUCAGUUGGUAUCGUAGUGGAACAUUUUGUCCAGGCUGUGCAGUGCCCUUUUUGACCUUUGGCCAAGUUCCCUUAUUUUCUCCCCUAAAUUAAUCAAGAAACCCCUUGGGAACAAGCCCGUGGGUUAUCCUCUUGGUGCUCUCUUGAGGUAUUAAAGAGCCCUAUAAAUAUAUUAAAGUAAAACGUCCUGGCUGAGCCCGUGAGCUGCAGCUUCUGGGGCUGGAGUGUUGCAGAAGGGGAGGGUCCCCUCUGGAGGUACCACAGGGGGGUGUGGGUGUGACCCACAGACCCAAAGAACUCCAACAGAAUGGGAAUGUGCUCAUCCUGCAGCUCAGAGGUCUGAUCCAGCCGAAUCUUAGUAAAUAUUUAGUGUAUUUACAACAUAAAAAACCCAACAAAUCAAUGCUUUGCCUGCAGUCACCACACUGGCUUCAUAUUGAGACCAAACUAGAGGUUCAGUAGAAUUACUGCUCCUGAGUUUCUGGUUUUACUCAAACUUUACAUCUAUGAUUUCAGUUCAGAUUUUACACAAACGUAUUCCAAAUACCGAUUUGGAACACCAACUGUGUUUUGUCAAAAUACUGUAUUAUCCUGGAGUUCCAGAACAGAAUAUAAAGUGCUGGGACUUGUAGCUUUGUCAAUCAUUUAAAAAAGAUUCUCUGUCAGCAGCGCUCACUUUUCCUCUAACUGAAAAAAACAACCCCAUUUCAGAGUAAGUUUGUGUCCCUCGAGCCCCAAAUCAACAAGUACAAACAGUGCCUGUUUCCUGAUCUGAGGGGAAGGGUUUGUUUAACUCAGCAUAAAUUGGUCUUUGCCCAUUUUAGGUCCGGGUGCCAGAAAACUGAAGGUCACCCUUGGUUGGACUGGAGCAGGAUCACCUGUGACUUCAGGAAAUAUCAGAUUCUCCCCUCUUGGACCAGGUGGGAGGCAGGACACCCUGUGGCCAGGGAGAGCUUUCAGCACAACGUUUAUCUGCAGUUGAUGGAUCACUGAGUGCUCACAGCUGAGGGAAAACGAACAUCAAAGAUCUCCAGUGAAUUAUUUUAAUGGUUGGAUCUUUACCAGGGCGAGCUUCGCCUUUUGUGUGUUUUGUUUGCCCCAGAACCCCGUUCCUGGAUGAUCUGAAGGCAGAGCUGAGCCCUGGCCGAGGCUCUGCUUUGAUUUCCAGCUCUCAGAGCUGAGCUGUGAGUGAACCUGACAGCUCUGUGGCCGAAGGGGAGUCCUGAUUCCGAGGUUCCACAACAAAGGGGCCUUAAUGAGGUCAGAGUGGAAGCAGAAUGUAAAUCAGGACAUUUCUUAUUCAAUCCCGUGGUUACUGAUGAGCCUCCACGACCCCAGCUCAGAGCAGGGCGGGGGGAGGCAAAGACAGAGGCAAGAACAGGCAUAAACUGGGAAUAAUGUAGUAAUUGUUCCACAUAUGGAAAUGUGGGGGGAAUGCCCAGGCAUCACCUCUGCCCUCUGGCCAGCACACCUGAGGCUGGGCAGCUCCUUUGGUCUUCAGGGGAGGUAUUUUUAAGGGAAUGAGUGUGAACCUCAAUCCCUCUUUAGAUGAUGAAGUCCAAGGCCAUGGCAUCUGCCUGAGACUCUUUGCUGUGCAUGCCAUGAGUGCUGGUGCAGUUCAGGAGGCAGCAGAUCCAGGACCUGCUCAGUGUCCUGCUCUCACGUCCCUUUACAACACAACUCGAUGGACAAAAUGUGGGGGCACAACAACAAGAUCUGCUUUUCAUGGCAAAAAAAGCAAAUCCAGAGAGGAAAAUCGGUCAGUUCAAGUUCAGUGGUGUCUGUAAGGACCUGAGGGUGAAUGGUGGGGGGUGUGUGCCAUGAAAUAUUAAAAUUACCCCUUGCAGAGAACCUGCACAGUGCUUGCUAAAGGCCUGAAGUCCCAGAGCUGUUGUCUAGAAGGGUUUGUCCCCUCUUUUCAGACUGUGGGAGCUGUUUCCACCUGUGAAUAUUUGAAGGAGGAAGAGUUGGAAGGUAACAGAAGGUAAAGAGCUGUGUCAGUCCAGGCUCUGAUGUGGUCAGUGAUCACACACCUGAGCUGUGGCUUUUAUUCAUCUUUUUUUUUUGGUACAGAACUCGAGCAUGAUUUUUAAAAAAAAUCCCGAAGAUUUCUUAGGACUUACAAGAAAAACUUUACCUUAUCUUUUCCUGCCACAGGAAAAUAAAAUGAUUUUUAAAAUUACCAAAAAAAGAGAAAUAUUUGGAAUUAUCUACUUCAUUUUCCCUUUCUUUUCCUGCACUUUGUCUACAAAGGCCAUACUGUCCCUGGCAGGUUUUUGGGGUUUUUUUAUGUUUUAAUUUUAAGCUACAGAGUAAACCUUGUAAGUUUGGCAGGAGAAGUCCUUAUAGAUUUCAGGGCAAUAUUUUGCAAUUCUUGUUUUUGCAGCUAUAAACACCUUCCAGUGCCAAGGGGGAAGAGGAUUUUAAUCCAGAUAAAAUAAGAUUCUUAAACACUGAAAACUGUACUGGGAUUUAUGGGCCAAUUUGAAUAUCUGAGCUCCCGUGCCAAAAGCUGCACAUUCCACAUGUUGCCUGACUGGCUCAUUCCAAGCUGCAUCACCCAUCCAGAGUUACCCUGCAAUCCAUUCCAACAAGUAAACUUGGAGUUUUGUUCUCAGAAUGUCUUCACCAAAUGUUAUUUCCAUAUUUGCUUUGCCUUUUGCUCUGAAAUCUUUUCAUUUUGUUUUUUUUUUCUCCUGUAGUAUUUUUAUCCCGCGUCUUAUUUAACACCUUUUAAUAAGCUGAAUUCUUACCAAGCGAGCACAACAACAUCUGAAAGAUGAAAUCUCUCUCUUUGAUGGUAUGAAACCAUGACCCAACAGGCCCAUCCCCUGCCUGGAGGGCUGGUGGGAGCUUCAUGUGAGAUUAUUAAAUCCUUCAGAAACUCAGGUAUGUUUAUUCGUAGUUCGGGGUAUCUCGCCAACAUCACAAUCCUUUCCUCCUCUGAGCGCAAAAAUGAUUUACAAUUAAAAAAGUAUUUGCCAUUUUGCUCUGCCUAAACCACGCUCCCCUUUUAUUCCUGAGUAGUUUCACUUGUCAUUUGCUUCUCUCUGUUUUUCCAGGCAGCUCAUUUGCUUUGGUUCUGCAGAACACUGAGAUGAGAAUUUGCAGCGGUGUCUCAGAAACCAAAGGACGAGCUGGGGCACAAAGCUGCUCCUCAUUUCCACUCACAACUCCCUUCCUCUGCCUUCCUUGCAGGCCCUUUCUGGCCAGUUCUCUCUACUGAGACUCAUCCCCCUUGCACUGAAGUUCCCAAAGGCCUCUGUGACACCCAGACCAUUCUCAUUCUUUCCUUAAAAAAAAAAAAAGACAAGUGAAAACUUGUUCACAAGGAUGGUGAUUUGACAGUCAAAUGGGUCGUCGUAGUGGGACUGCCUGCAGCUCGAGUUUUUAAUCUUAUCACUGUUUUCAACAACUUCUAUUUUUUAGCAUUGCAUAUGCUUUAAAGUAACAGUUUGCAUUUUGCUCCUUGCCUCGUCCCUGCCAGUUAUACCUGAAAUGUCAUCUAAAUAUCACCGUGGUGGAGGGAAGGAACCAAUCUACUCUGCUCCUGAGCUGUUUCCUCCGCUCCUUCCAUCCAAAGCCACGUUUCCAGAGAUGUUCCUUGCCUUUUCUCCAAUUCCUGGCUGGCAAUUUAAACUUCACACAGCCCAGUUUUGCCAGUCUUUUUUCCUGGCUCCCUCACACUUCCAUCACUAGCAAAGGCACCCUGGGAUUGCUCUUUGUAACGAGCUGGGCACAUUUGGCUCCUUCUUUUCUCUCCCUGUUCAUCCCUCUGUCCAUCCCACUCCUCACCACUCUCACUCAGCUCCUGCUCCUCCACCCAGAACAGUGAGAGACGAUCUUUUCUGUUCCUAGACAUUUAAACAUUGUCUAUCUCCUCUUCCCUGCCACUGCUUUCUUUCCUGCCUCCCUUCUAUCUUUUACAAUCCAGAGAACAAGAUAAUUUGUCUGGUUUUUGAUAAGAAUACAGGAGCACAUUUGCUCCACCAGAGUCAGCUUAAAAGUCUCCUUCUUGUCGUUGUGACUCCACUGUUAACUCCACUUUUCCCUUUCCUAAUGACAUGACCCUGGGUUAAUCCCAGUCCUCUGCAGCAGUUUGCAGAUUCCUUUCAACAUGAUCUUGUAGGUGGAAAAACUUCCCCCAAAUUGGCUUUCCAGGUCAUUAAUCUUCCCUCAAACUGCUCCUUUAUAGGGGCUCUUAGUACAGUAUUCAAGCAAAUAAUAUCAUUUUCAGGGACUUCCCUGUGUGUAACCCUCGGGAGGGGGUGGAAACGUUGGCCUCUGCCCUGGGUGUGCUUUCCUGAGCCCCCCAGUCCCAACCCCGAGCAGUUGUGCCCCGUGGGAAGUGUUUCCAUGUAAAUCAUCAACAUCACUGAGGUGACUGGAGGUAUUUAUUUGUGGCAGGCCUUUGGGAACCCCCUGCAGCACAACCACUGCUGGCCAUGGCUUUCCUUCAUCCUGGAAAAGGAGAUCCCAGCAGACUGUCCCAGGACAACAUCCCUGCCCACUGGGAACACUGGGACAUCUCCGAGCUACUCCCACAGUAGAGAUGGCUGUAAACAGACCAUGUGGUUUCACCCUGGAUAUUUAUGGAGAAUCAUGGGAACAGGGACGGCUGAUCCACACACCACACUCUGAUCCCUGGCAGGGCUUGAACUAUGUGGACAAACUGCUCUACAAGUAAACCCUUUACUGAGGCAACUGGAAACAGAGAAAACAGUAGAAAUGACACUUCGACACAAGACAAUAAUUAUUUAUACUGCAACAGCUGGAAUUUGUGCUAGUGAGUGACCAGAAUGCCUAACUCAAAGGCAUGGAAAAGCGUGUUUUCCCCAGGAACGGGUUGCCUUAGACAUGGAAUGUCAAACACUGCUGCUUUUUGACUCUGACAGCGCCUGGCUGAGCUCCAGCUCUGCUCCCGGGGCGAGAAGGGCCCAACUCCCCACGCUCAGGAUUGGGAGAGCCCCGUUUGAACCUCGUGUUCCUCCAGGAAAAACUUGGAUGUGCAGCAAAGCGCUCGUGCUUUGGGGCAAAAUGGAGCAAAUCAAGCCCCACUGCAGCUCUGCUGUGCCCUCCUGGCACCUCUGGCUCUUCCCCCACGUUCAGUUCGAAGCAUAAGCAGCACCUGCUGGUGGAAACAAAGCCUGCCGAGCCAUCCUCCUGGAAGAACAGGUUUGGUCAUCACUGGGAGCUCUGGGUGAGUUGUCCCGGAGUUAAAUAAGCUGGGCUAUCCCUAUUUGGGCUGAUUUUGUCAGGGCUCCUUCCCUGCUGCUCGUCAGCUCUGCGUGGUGAGGGUGAGGUGGGACCCAGCUGAUCUCCAGGGGCCUGGGGACUCCUUUCUGUGGCCGAGCUGUGGAGCUGCCAAUUAACACAGUGACAGGAUUAGUGAAGACAUUCCCCUAUCUUCCCACGGUGCAAAAAUGGUUAUUUUGCUAAAGUUGAAACCCCAGUGUUGCUGUUCGUGGUCACUGAUUGAUUUUUGAAAAGGAGGAGAAGAAAACAGGGAGUAAAACUCGAAUGCCCUGAGCUGGGAAACACGUUCCUCCACAUACCACCUUGGAUAAUUGUGCGCGAGGAAGUGUCACUCCUGUGAUAUCUGUAAGGGGGACAAUUUCUGCUUGAAGCAAAGACAGCAAGGGAACUUUCCCAGUUUGGUCCUGGGAAGUGAAGGAUUAGACUGUGAUGAUUUCCCUUGCCUGGGAGAACUGAAUGUAAUAUCAAGUCAAGCACCUGGCAAAGUGCUUAAAGAGAUGUUAUCUUUUUUCAGUUUAAAACCAAAAUGGAGCUGGCAGUGCAGGGAUGUGGUCAAAUUGUGUGACCAGCAGCAUUUCCAAAAUGCAGGCAACAACUAUUGAACUUCAGACCAUUGACACAAUACAGGGAAUUUAGCUAUAGUAAAUGAUUUUUAAAUUAAAAGAGGGGAGAUUGAGAUUAGAUGGUAGGAGGAAAUUGCUUAUGGGGAGGGUGGGGAGGCCCUGGCACAGGUUACCCAGAUAAACUGUGGCUGCCCCAUCCCUGGAAGUGUCCAAGGCCAGGUUGGACAGGGCUUGGAGCAACCUGGGCUAGUGGGAGGUGUCCCUGCCCAUGGCAGGGAUUGGGACUGGAUGGGCUUUAAUGUCCCUUCCAACCCAAACCAUUCCAUGAUUCUAUAAUUUUUAGUUUACAAAGCAGUUAACAUUCACAAGACUACAGAAAAAUGGCCUGAGCAGCACAGUGUGGGUAUAUUAACAUAUCUCCUCCUGAAAACCAAUCUGAAUCCUGUGUUAGACCCCACAUUUUCCUGAGAAAAUCAAGCAGAAUAACUCAUCUCUACUUGGAAGGUCCAGAAGAGGAAUUGUGCUGACUGGAAACACCAUUUGGAGGGUGAGCAGCACGUGGAAAAACCAGGAAUUCUGCGGUGUCUAAUCGUGCACAGCAUUUCCCUGGAUAAGUAACGCCACGAUUCUCCAUCCCAAAACGCUUCUAUAAUAAGAAAAUAAUUUCUUUCCUGGUAAGGGAUGUUCUUUUAUUCCAGAAAUAGAAUGGCCCCUCCAUCAAAGGGCUGGCUGUGCCCUGGGCCCCGUGCAGAGAUGGGCCAGGGGGCCCGGGCUGCAGUGGAGUUACAAAGAGCUGCACUAUUUUGACGCGGAAGGAUGUGGUUUGGGGUUGGUUAAUACACGCUGCUUGACAUAUUUACAAGUGUCAGAUUGUGUUCUCUGUUUACAAGAGCGGUGCCAAAAGGAAGGGGAGUAAUGUAGCCCAAAGUGCUUCCCCGAUUCCCGGUGCCAGGAUGUAACAAGGGAUUUCACUUUGAGUGAGUAACUCGCGACGGUAACGGAACGUGGGUACUUUGUGUCUGGAAACGCUGCUCCUCUCAGUGCAGGCCCAGUCCUUGUGGGACAGAAUUCCUGGUCGCUGUAGCAGUGAGGGGUUGGGAUGGAUGACAGGUUGGAUUUGUCAGAGGAAGGACACUCAUGGUAAGAACACUGCUCUGGCUGGAAAUCUUUUGGCCUAAAUUCUCUUUCUCUCUCACUCCAUGUACGUAAUUUGGGUAAGUGCCUGUUUGUGUGAGAGAUUUGUGACCAUGAGGUAAGUCCAAACCAACUCCAUUCAGCCUUUACAAUAGAUGUUAAUCUUAAUUUAUUGCCAAGACAAGUAAAUUGCAAAAAAAGACGCCUAAAUGAGAUUAAAAUCACGAUAAGGAAAGCUGCCACUGAGCACAGAGUGAGAACUUUUUCCGCUGAAUCAGAUCAUUGAAAACGUGCUGCUACUUUUCUGUAUUAAAGCUCAAGAUGAAUUGCUUAAAUAUCUCCAUCUUUUAAGCAGCAAUAUUUGCUUUCUACACCUGUGGAACUCUCGUGUCAGGGAGAAGCUCAGGCAGGUGAGCUUUAAUCUGCUCCUGCUGGUUCGAAUCAAAGGGUCAUUACGAACAGUGAAAAAACUAUUUGUGGUGAAUUUUCUAUUUUAAACAAAGUGUUUAUUGUUUAUUUUAUGUAUAGCCAUCCUUCUGUGACUAUCAGGAAUGAAUUUCAUAUAUUUAUUU